rnacentral:rRNA from 1 species
AAGGCCCUUUNUCGGUCUCGCGAAUGCAUCNAGAUGAUUUANUUGAUCAUGGCUCAGAGUGACCGCUGGCGUGAUAGGCCUAACACAUGCGAGUCGAACGGCAGCACAGGAGAGCUUGCUCUCUGGGUGGCGAGUGGCGGACGGGUGAGGAAUACAUCGGAAUCUACUCUGUCGUGGGGGAUAACGUAGGGAAACUUACGCUGAUACCGCAUACGACCUACGGGUGAAAGCAGGGGAUCUUCGGACCUUGCGCGACUUGAAUGAGCCGAUNUCCGCGACUCUCAGCCUACGUUUGNGCCGCGGGUCACACACGGCCCACCCAAAGGGCAGAACAGACUCCCCGUUANNGCCUCGUGCUCUAGAGCGAGNAGACUCGAGUCAGCCCAACAACUCGGGAAACCUGGAGGACCGAACCUGGGGGUCCCCAANGGAAGCCGCUCCCCGUUUAACCNGCGCGGACAGGGACAAGNCCCAACGGCUUGCNGGGGGGACAAAACGUUUCACUUCUCGGGCGGACACCCACAACUCUGGGGNGGCGCGCCCCAACACGCCCNAUUCGAAACUUCCCCCAAGAGCCCCCCACAUNNACANCCCGGCCUCGCCUUCGGNGCGGNUUCCACCAAGACAACCACGNCGGGCCCCCGUUUUUCCCCCGGCGGCGCGCGUUUUCGCUUUACCACACCGGCCCCCCCCUUUCUUUCGUCCGGCAUCACCCGGCGCCGGCCAACCCAGACGGCAACAGACNCGACNCUCUCCCCCGCCGAUGGCUCCCCGGCNNGGCGCUUNUUUCUGUGUUUCCUCCCCUUUUGCGAGUGCUUUAGGGGGGCGNCAUUUUNCGACACCCCGGNGGGUUAACCCCCCCCC